ACUUUCCAACCCUUGGAAAGUGUCUCAGGUGUGAGCUGGUGGUAUCUGCACCCCCAGCAGCUAAGGUAGAAAUGUAUGGGAAACUGCAUUCCAAUUCAGGGAAGUAUAGGAAGCAGUAAUGAAAGUGGGAAGACCUAUUACAAGUUUGUUGCAGUCAUCCAGCUGCUGAUUUUCUCUCGAGGGCUCACACCCCUGGACUCUGGGUGGUCCUGGGAAGAUGUGAACCCUGUACCCUGACUCCCAUCACUGAGGCCAAGGGUCUGGACUCUUCCUCCUCCUCCUACUCCAGCACAGUGGGGAACCCGGCAGGACAGCUGUCCUCUGGGACUCUUGAGUUCACUCGCUUCAGCCACCAAGCACUGACAGGAGUGUUUCCACCAAAGGGCAGCUCCUGCGGCUUCCACUUCCCCUCUCCAAGGUGCCAGGGUUACUGUCUGUCGUCCAGCCUUCCAUGGCAUCCCUGUCUCUCCAGAUCAUCUCACUCAAUUCUCUCAUUGCUCCAGUGAGCCUGGAUUGUUUUCUGUUGCCGACAACAGAAAACCCCAACUGAUACCCUUGCCCUUCCCCAAGGUCACUUACCCAGAUCAAGGUCCAGCCUGAGAUUUGAGUUCCUAUUGAGUCCCCUACAGGAGCACAGCUGUGAGCUAAAUUGUGCCUCUCCCUAGGUUCAUUCCUAACCCUCUCAGACCUCAGGAUGGGACAGUAUUUGGAGACAUGGUCUUUAUUGAGCUAAUACAGGUUAAAUAGUUUACUCAGGGGAUCCUCAUCCAAUACAACUGGUGUCCUUAUAAGAGGAAAUUGGGACACAUGUUGGUGUGCAGUGGGAAGACCAUGUGAGGACAGAGAAGCUUGGCCAUCUGCAAGCCCAGGAGAGAGACUUAGAACAAAUCAAUCUGCGGACAACUUGAUCUUGGACUUCUAGCCUCCAGAACUGUGAGAAAAUACAUUUCUGUUGCGUAAGCGGCCCAGCCUGUGGUCCUUUGUCAUGGCAGCCCUGGCAGAUGAGUGCAGACCGCACUUCCCACCGCCAUGGUGCCACUGUCUGUGGACAGCAUGCCAGCCUCAUCGCACGAGUCACCCCUGAAGAUGCUCAAAUUAGCAGGCUGUUCUUAGAACCAAAUUUCCUGGACAGGCUUCAGAAAGCAUUCUCUCUGGUGAUACAGACAUCUGAAAGACACACACACACACACACACCCCAAAAACAAACAAAAAACUCAUGGCCA